GGGGGGGGGGGGGGGGGGGGGUGGGACGGGCGAGUCGGGCGGGGCGGUCGGGUCUAGUGGCGCACGGGUGCGUCACGCGUGGGAACCUGCCCUUAGGGUCGGAAUGCCUCCCCGAAAGGGGGGCUAAUACCGGAUAGUGUCUUCGGACCAAAGAUUUAUCGCCUUUGGAUGGGCCCGCGUUGGAUUAGCUAGUUGGUAGGGUAAAAGCCUACCAAUGCGACGAUCCAUAGCUGGUCUGAGAGGAUGAUCAGCCACACUGGGACUGAGACACGGCCCAGACUCCUACGGGAGGCAGCAGUGGGGAAUAUUGGACAAUGGGCGAAAGCCUGAUCCAGCAAUGCCGCGUGAGUGAUGAAGGCCUUAGGGUUGUAAAGCUCUUUUACCCGGGAUGAUAAUGACAGUACCGGGAGAAUAAGCGCCGGCUAACUCCGUG
rnacentral:rRNA from 1 species